UACGGGGGGAGCAAGCGUUGUUCGGAUUUACUGGGCGUAAAGGGCGCGUAGGCGGUCAGCACAAGUCGGUUGUGAAAUCUCCGGGCUUAACCCGGAAAGGUCAACCGAUACUGCAGGGCUAGAGUGCAGAAGGGGCAACUGGAAUUCUCGGUGUAGCGGUGAAAUGCGUAGAUAUCGAGAGGAACACCUGCGGCGAAGGCGGGUUGCUGGGCUGACACUGACGCUGAUGCGCGAAAGCUAGGGGAGCGAACGGG
rnacentral:rRNA from 1 species